rnacentral:lncRNA from 1 species
CGGCUCCCAAGAGCUCCCCCAGCUGCACUGCACCGCCCCAGCCAGCCUGAAGGGAGAAGCAACCGAGGAGCAGACAGACCACGCACCCUCGCUGCGCCUGCAGCUCAGCCCGGCUCUCCUCGCCUCCUCCCCAGCCUGCCAGGUCCUUCGCUCUUCAAAACUUUCCCUGAUGUUGUGUGCCGACCUCGUAUGGGUGCGUCGCCUCCGUUCUUGUCUGCUCCGCCCGCCUCGCAGAGGAUUUGCAGCUGUAGAGAGGCCCCUGCCUCUCUCCCUCGACGGCUGCCGGAGCUCCUAGUGGGAACUAACAGGCUGCAACUGGAAGGGAGACGACAGUGAGGGACAAGAUGCUGAACGAAGUUGAGCUACUCCUGCCAGACGUCAGCUGGAAACCGCUUGGCAGGUCUCUACCCCUCCGCUUUUUCCUGAAGCGCCAAAAUCUCCUGCAAAAGUUGCCGGGAACGUCACCGCUCUGCAGCCGGCCCCGGGGCGCUCCGCUCCACCGCCCCCCGACGGGGCGUCCGGGGGCUCCCGCGCCCGCCAGCGGGGCUGGCCCGGGGUCGCUUCCCACCUCCCUGCCUGCCGGCUCUGCCAGCCGCGCCUUAUUUGCUCCUCUGUUGGCUUGCCAGGUUUUCCCCCUACCCCCUUCACCAUUUCAUUCCCCUCCACCAUUUCACUCCCCUUCGUUUAAAAAAAAAAAAAAAAAGAGCCAAUUAAAGAGGGCGGGCGUGCUGGGGAGAGCCCAGCCUCCUGCCCAAUUCUGCGAGCCUCCCCACGCCUCGCCCCGGCCCAAUUAUAGACAAGACCGCAGGGGUGGGGAGAAAAAAGGACUUGCUUCGGGCGAGAGACCGGUUGUGAGUCCAGGGUAUCCCCAUCCUCAGGACGCUCGCGGCAAGGUUGGCUUCUCCCGGCUGGGACUUGAGAUGCCAAGGGAUGGGGGGCAGCGCAGGUUGCCGGGGUGUCUCCCGCACUGGCGCUCGCUCGUGCCAGCAAAGUUUUUUGGGGCCCCCCAGACCAGAGAAAUGGCAGAUCAUACAACCUGCUGGGAACCUCCACCUUCUCCACUCUUCACAGGCUGGCAGAGGUUGAAGUUUGAUUGA